GCAUCGAUGAACAACGUAGCGAAGUGCGAUAUGUAAUGUGAAUUGCAGAAUUCCGUGAAUCAUCGAAUUUUUGAACGCAAAUUGCACUCUCUUCGGAGAGUAUGCCUGUUUGAGGGUCAGCCUAAAAAAAUCGACAUAGUUGCUGUUUCGCGGUGACAAUCGUCGGAAAUUGGGUCAUCUUAAACCUUUUGGGUUUAAGCGGCUUAAAAUUUUAUUUACGAUUUCACGAACGUUUUUAAGAUUUUAUUUCUUAUACGUUUAUGUAUCGAUCUUUACUAGACGUGGCCGUUGCAUCGGAUCACGUCCAUAAAUAUUUCGUAACUGACCUCAUACAGGUAAGAACACCCGCUGAACUUAAGCAUAUCAAUAAGCGGAGGA
rnacentral:rRNA from 1 species